rnacentral:rRNA from 1 species
GAUGAACGCUAGCGGCAGGCUUAACACAUGCAAGUCGAGGGGUAUUGGUUUUCGGACCAAGAGACCGGCGCACGGGUGCGUAACGCGUAUGCAAUCUACCUUUUGCAGAGGGAUAGCCCCAGAGAAAUUUGGAUUAAUACCUCAUAGUAUAGUACUUUGGCAUCAAGGAACUAUUAAAGUCACAACGGCAAAGAUGAGCAUGCGUCCCAUUAGCUAGUUGGUAAGGUAACGGCUUACCAAGGCUACGAUGGGUAGGGGUUCUGAGAGGGAGAUCCCCCACACUGGUACUGAGACACGGACCAGACUCCUACGGGAGGCAGCAGUGAGGAAUAUUGGACAAUGGGCGCAAGCCUGAUCCAGCCAUGCCGCGUGCAGGAUGACGGUCCUAUGGAUUGUAAACUGCUUUUAUACAGGAAGAAACACUCCGACGUGUCGGAGCUUGACGGUACUGUAAGAAUAGGAUCGGCUAACUCCGUGCCAGCAGCCG